rfam:Pelosinus sp. TFO1, complete genome.
AGUCAAGCUAAUAAGGGCAUACGGUGGAUGCCUUGGCGCCAAGAGCCGAUGAAGGACGGGGUAAGCUCCGAUAAGCUAGGGGGAAUCGCAAGCAGGUUUUGAUCCCUAGAUUUCCGAAUGGGGAAACCCAACAGUGGUAAUGCACUGUUACCCAUACCUGAGAGUAUGAGGAGGGCACCUGGGGAACUGAAACAUCUAAGUACCCAGAGGAAAAGUAAUCAAGUGAGAUUCCCUAAGUAGCGGCGAGCGAACGGGGAAGAGCCCAAACCGAGUCAGUUUACUGAUUCGGGGUUGAGGACCGGCAUAAUUCGAGUCAGGCUUAGUCGAACUACCUGGAAAGGUAGACCAUAGGGGGUAACAGUCCCGUAGACGAAAAGCAGAGCAAGAUGGCCGAGUUCCAGAGUACCACGAGACACGUGAAACCUUGUGGGAAGCAGGGGGGACCACCCUCCAAGGCAAAAUACUCCUUGGCGACCGAUAGCGUAUAGUACCGUGAGGGAAAGGUGAAAAGCACCCCGGGAGGGGAGUGAAAAAGAACCUGAAACCGUAUGUCUACAAGCAGUUGAAGACCCUUAUGUGGUCAACAGCGUGCCUAUUGAAGAAUGAACCGGCGAGUUACAGUAACUAGCGAGGUUAAGCAGAAGAUGUGGAGCCGCAGCGAAAGCGAGUCUUAAUAGGGCGAAUAGUUAGUUGUUGUAGACCCGAAACCGCAGUGAUCUAUCCAUGGCCAGGUUGAAGCGCAGGUAAAAUUGCGUGGAGGACCGAACUCGUGAACGUUGAAAAGUUUUGAGAUGAGUUGUGGAUAGGGGUGAAAUGCCAAUCGAACGCGGAGAUAGCUGGUUCUCCCCGAAAUAGCUUUAGGGCUAGCCUCAAGAAAUAAGUACAGACGGUAGAGCUCUGAUUGGGCUAGGGGCCUUAUAGGUUACCGAACUCUGUCAAACUGCGAAUGGCUGUACUCGGACCUUGGGAGUCAGACUGCGAGUGAUAAGACCCGUAGUCAAGAGGGAAACAGCCCAGACCAUCAGCUAAGGUCCCAAAUGCCGUACUAAGUGGCAAAGGAUGUGGAACUUCAGAAACAACCAGGAUGUUGGCUUAGAAGCAGCCACCAUUUAAAGAGUGCGUAAUAGCUCACUGGUCGAGAGGUUUUGCGCCGAAGAUGUCCGGGGCUAAAGUACGGAACCGAAGCUAUGGAUUUGUACCUUUGGUACAAGUGGUAGGGGAGCGUUCUAUACGCUUUGAAGCAGUACCGUAAGGAGCUGUGGAGUAUAUAGAAGUGAGAAUGCCGGUAUGAGUAGCGAAAAGACAAGUGAGAAUCUUGUCCACCGAAAGCCUAAGGUUUCCUGAGCAACGCUCGUCGUCUCAGGGUAAGUCGGGGCCUAAGCCGAGGCGUAAAUGCGUAGGCGAUGGACAACUGGCAAACAUUCCAGUACCACCCACAUCCGUUUGAGUGAUGGAGUGACACAGAAGGGUAAGUAAUCGCAUGAAUGGAAGAAAUGCGUCUAAGCUUGUAGGGUGUUUAGUAGGCAAAUCCGCUAAACGAAUAGCCUGAGGAGUGACGGGGAGUUGCUAGCGAUAGCGAUGAACUUACUGAUCCCACACUGUCAAGAAAAGCUUCUAGCGAGGCUGUGGGUGCCCGUACCGCAAACCGACACAGGUAGGCGGGGAGAGAAUCCUAAGGUGCGCGGGAAAACCCUCGUUAAGGAACUCGGCAAAAUGUCCCCGUAACUUCGGGAGAAGGGGAGCCCUUUUAGGUGAUUACCCUUGCGGUAUGAGCUAAAGAGGGUCGCAGAAAAGAGGCCCAAGCGACUGUUUACCACAAACACAGGUGCCUGCUAAAGCGAAAGCUGACGUAUAGGUGCUGACACCUGCCCGGUGCUGGAAGGUUAAGGGGAGUGCUUAGAAGCAAUUCGAAGGUGUGAACUGAAGCCCCAGUAAACGGCGGCCGUAACUAUAACGGUCCUAAGGUAGCGAAAUUCCUUGUCGGGUAAGUUCCGACCCGCACGAAAGGUGUAACGACUUGGGCACUGUCUCAACGAGGGACCCGGUGAAAUUGAAAUACCUGUGAAGAUGCAGGUUACCCGCGACUGGACAGAAAGACCCCAUGGAGCUUUACUGUAGCCUGACAUUGAAUUUUGGUAAAUGAUGUACAGGAUAGGUGGGAGACUGCGAGAUAUGUACGCUAGUAUGUAUGGAGUCAUUGUUGGGAUACCACCCUUUAUUUACUGGAAUUCUAACUUUAAUAGUAACGACAUUAAGGACAGUGUCAGGUGGGCAGUUUGACUGGGGCGGUCGCCUCCGAAAAUGUAACGGAGGCGCUCAAAGGUUCCCUCAGCGCGGCCAGAAAUCGCGCGAAGAGUGCAAAGGCAGAAGGGAGCUUGACUGCGAGACGUACAGGUCGAGCAGGGACGAAAGUCGGACUUAGUGAUCCGGUGGUACCGCGUGGAAGGGCCAUCGCUCAACGGAUAAAAGCUACCCUGGGGAUAACAGGCUAAUCUCUCCCAAGAGUCCAUAUCGACGGGGAGGUUUGGCACCUCGAUGUCGGCUCAUCACAUCCUGGGGCUGUAGUAGGUCCCAAGGGUUGGGCUGUUCGCCCAUUAAAGUGGUACGUGAGCUGGGUUCAGAACGUCGUGAGACAGUUCGGUCCCUAUCCAUCGCGGGCGCAAGAGACUUGAAGGGAACUGCUCCUAGUACGAGAGGACCGGAGUGGACGAACCAAUGGUGUACCAGUUAUCCCGCCAGGGGUACAGCUGGGUAGCUACGUUCGGAAAGGAUAAACGCUGAAAGCAUCUAAGCGUGAAACCAGCCUUAAGAUGAGGUCUCUCAUAGCGUAAGCUAGUAAGUCCCCUUGUAGAUGACAAGGUUGAUAGGCCAGGUGUGUAAGUCCAGCAAUGGAUUCAGCUGACUGGUACUAAUAGGACGAGGGCUUGACUUA